rnacentral:lncRNA from 1 species
AGCGGCGAGCCCGUGUCCGAGACCAACGUGCUCCCACAAUGAACAACUAAAUUGUAGAGGGCAGCACGACUUUUGCAACUGUACAUGCAGUGAACCUGCACCGCAGCCUCUACCAUGCACCUUUGGAACAGGCAUUACUGAUGAAACCGAACCUGCUGAUACAGAAUUCCCGGGAAUGGUGUCCUGCCCAAAAAUUAGUUGCGCCUGCGGAGAAAAGGCCACCUGUUUAAAUAAAGGAAGCUCCUGUGCAUGUACAUGUGUGAAACAAGACGAAGAUUGCUCGUAUCCUUGGCGAAUUACUUGCGUGACCAGCUGCAGAUUUAGCCAUAGGUGCUUAUGCACCUGCGCUGGCCCACUCCCGUACGCCCAACCAGCUCCAGCUCAGCCCUGUUGUCCCAACGGGGCCCCAGUCGCCUCUUCAGCUCCAAGCCCACCGUGCUGCCAACCAAUUGCCGGGAGACGUUGAAGUAUUAACGAUUGCAUUAAACUGCUUGUCUUCACUGACAUAUGAAUGAAAACUC